AACUUUCAGCAACGGAUCUCUUGGCUCUCGCAUCGAUGAAGAACGCAGCGANAUGCGAUAAGUAAUGUGAAUUGCAGAAUUCAGUGAAUCAUCGAAUCUUUGAACGCACCUUGCGCCCCUUGGUAUUCCGAGGGGCAUGCCUGUUUGAGUGUCAUU
rnacentral:rRNA from 1 species